CGGACCGUGUCCAAGUUCCUUGGAACAGGAUAUCAAAGAGGGUGACAAUCCCGUACUUGACACGACGACCGGUGCUCUGUGAUACGUCUUCUACGAGUCGAGUUGUUUGGGAAUGCAGCUCAAAAUGGGUGGUGAGUUCCAUCUAAAGCUAAAUAUUGGCGAGAGACCGAUAGCGAACAAGUACCGUGAGGGAAAGAUGAAAAGCACUUUGGAAAGAGAGUUAAACAGUACGUGAAAUUGUUGAAAGGGAAACGAUUGAAGUCAGUCGUGACCGAGAGGCUCAGCCGGCUCUGCCGGUGUAUUCCCCUCGGUCGGGUCAACAUCAGUUUUGUCCGGUGGAUAAGGGCGGUAGGAAGGUGGCACCCUCGGGUGUGUUAUAGCCUGCCGUCGCAUACAUCGGGUGAGACUGAGUAACGCAGCUCGCCUUUAUGGCCGGGGUUCGCCCACGUCC
rnacentral:rRNA from 1 species